AUCUUAGAGAUAAGACGUUCCCUUCGGGGACAGAAUGACAGGUGAUGCAUGGUUGUCGUCAGCUCGUGUCGUGAGAUGUUGGGUUAAGUCCCGCAACGAGCGCAACCCUUAUUAUCAGUUGCCAGCAUUCAGUUGGGCACUCUGGUGAGACUGCCGGUGACAAACCGGAGGAAGGUGGGGAUGACGUCAAAUCAUCAUGCCCCUUAUGACCUGGGCUACACACGUGCUACAAUGGACGGUACAACGAGUCGCGAAGUCGUGAGGCUAAGCUAAUCUCUUAAAGCCGUUCUCAGUUCGGAUUGUAGGCUGCAACUCGCCUACAUGAAGUUGGAAUCACUAGUAAUCGCGGAUCAGCAUGCCGCGGUGAAUACGUUCCCGGGUCUUGUACACACCGA
rnacentral:rRNA from 1 species